rnacentral:rRNA from 1 species
UACGAAGGGAGCUAGCGUUGUUCGGAAUCACUGGGCGUAAAGCGCACGUAGGCGGAUUUGUCAGUCAGGGGUGAAAUCCCGGGGCUCAACCUCGGAACUGCCUUUGAUACAGCAAGUCUUGAGUUCGAGAGAGGUGGGUGGAAUUCCUAGUGUAGAGGUGAAAUUCGUAGAUAUUCGCAAGAACACCAGUGGCGAAGGCGGCUCACUGGCCCGAUACUGACGCUGAGGUGCGAAAGCGUGGGGAGCAAACAGG